CCCUCUCACCUGGCUGGCGGCAGGGCGGGGCUCGAGCCCGGGACUGCCAGGUGCGCGCCGGGAAUGGGCGGCGGCAGGCGCGCGGGGCACAGGUUCCUGAGGGGGCGCAGCUUUUCCUGGAAGGCAGGCAGCCUGAGAAGGGCUUCGUUUUUGCGCAGUAGGACGUUGAAGAAAGGACAAGCCCCCUUUGUCCUGGACGUAAGCCGCAAGUCGUCCUGAGUGGUGCACACCGCGAAGACUGAGGAAACUGGAUCACAGGGCUGGGCCGUGAGCCUUGAACCUCGGAGAACGUCGCAUUACUGCUCCAGCGCGCCGGUUCAGGGCCGCGGGACGCGAGCCCUUUAAAAGGAUGGAUUUGCUUCCUGUGACUCCCUGGAAGAGACGUCUUCACCACCGCACUGCGUAGAGGCCGGCGUCGUCGCCGGCUCACCCCGCUUGCUGCCUCCCCGCACAAAGCCCAGCCCAGGUAGCUCAGGUUAGCUGGAGCCCCGGAGCCUCACCUACAAGUACCUGGCCUGUCCUAGGUUGUGUGGGGACGGGAUGUGGCUUCUGCAAGCCCAGAAACCUGUUUCCACUCCCCCACCACAAAUGGAACUCACCCAGCUCUACUCGCAAGACGGAGUCUCACUCUGUUCCCCAGGCUGCAGUGCAGUGGCAUGAUCUCGGCCCACUGCAACCUCCGCUUCCUGGGUUCAAGCAAUCCUCACAUUUCAGCCUCCCGAGUAGCUGGGAUUACAGGCGCGCACCACCAUGUCCAGCUAAUUUUUAAAAAUAUUUUUAGUAGAGACGGGGUUUCGCCAUGUUGGCCAGGCCGGUCUCAAACUCCUGGCCUCCAGCAAUCCGCUGGCCUCGGCCUCCUGAAGUGCUAGGAUUACAGGCGUGAGCCACCGCGCCUGGCCUGUUUAAUGUCUUGCAGUGGGGUCAUCUCCGAAACAAAGAGGGAUGGGAAGAAGGUAGGUGCCAAGAAGUCUGCUGGUUGGAAGAUUUCAUCUCAUUGGCGAGAUCCCUGGGUUUCUCCACCUCAGCAGUGUUGGCUUUUGGGAUGGGAUAAUCCUUUCAUGUGGGGUCUGUUCCAUGCUUUGUAGGAUGUUUGACAGCAUCCCUGGCCUCCACCCACUAGAUGCCAGUAGCACACACACUCCUCCAAAAUUCACGGAAAACGUCUUCAAAGUCAAAUAUGUGGCCCCACCUUCAUCUCCAUCCCCAACCCCUGAUUUAAAAUUUGCCACUGGUGAUGAUCUCAUUGGGAGCUAUUGAGAAUACACAGGACUGUGGUUUACACCUGUAAUCCCAACACUUUGGGAGGCUGAGGCUGGAGGAUGGCUUGAGCCCAGGAGUUUGAGACCAGCCUGGGCAACAUAGCAAGACCCCAACUCUAAAAUAAAUAAAAUUUUAAAAAAUUUUAAAAAGGCCAAGAACAGUGGCUCUCACCUGUAAUCCCAGCACUUUGGGAGGCCGAGGCAAGUGGAUCACUUGAGGUCAGGAGUUUGAGACCAGCCUGGCCAACACAGUGAAACCCCAUCUCUGCUAAAAAUACAAAAAUUAGCGAGGCGUGGUGGUGCACGCCUGUAAUCCCAGCUGCUCCAGAGACUGAGGCAGGAGAAUCGCUUGAACCCAGGAGGCAGGGUUUGCAGUGAGUCGAGACUGUGCCACUGCACUCCAGCCUGGGUGACGGAGUCAAACUCCAUCUCAAAAAAAAAUACACAGGAUUGUGGCUCAUGCCUGUAAUACCGGCACUUUGGGAGGCCAAGGUGGUAGGAUGGCUUGAGCCCAGGAGUUCAGGACCAGCCUGGGCAACAUAGCAAGACCCCAACUGUACAAUAAAUAAAUAAAAUUUUUUAAAAUGAAACAAAGGCCGGCCAGCUGCAAUGGCUCACGCCUGUAAUCCCAGCACUUUGGGAGGCCGAGGCAGGCAGAUCACUUGAGGUCAGGAGUUCUAGACCAGCCUGGCCAACGUGGUGAAACCCCAUUUCUACUAAAAAUAUAAAAAUUAGCCAGCCGUGGUGGCAGGCACCAGUAAUCCGAGCUAUUUAGGAGGCUGAGGCAGGAGAAUCGCUUGAACCCAGGAGGCAGGGGUUACAGUGAGCCGAGAUUGCACCACUGCACUCCAGCCUGGACAACAAGAGUGAGACUCCAUCUCAAAAAAAAAAAAUUAAAAAUAAAAGAAUGCACAGUCCAGUAAUGUCACCCAGCCCUAUAUCAGUAAAGGUCACACUCUAGAGUGGUACAUAUCUCAGCUGCAUCUAAGGCCUUGCUAAUUAGCUCAUUAGAAUGUCACAAAUGGGUUUUUAUAUUACCCAUGUAUAGCUGCCAAAAAUGUUUAAGUGAAUCUAAUCAAAGUUGGAAAAAAAAAUAAGAAAAAUCCAGGUUGGAAGACAUUCAGCAAAACAAUUUCCCUGCACUACACUCUAAAAAAAGUCAAGCUAGGGAAUUGGUCCAGACAGAUAACACAACUGGGUUGGUCCAUUAAGUGACCCCUGAUGCAGCACUGCAUUGAAGGCAAAAAAGCUGUGAGAGAGAUUUGAGGGACAACUGGGGAACUUUGUAGUUAUAUAUGGACUAUAUAUUAGACAGUAUUAUUGUAUCAUCAUUAGAUUUUUCAGUGUGACAGUGGCUAUUUACAAGAAUGCCCUAGUUCUUAGGAUGUUAGUGCUGAAUCAUUAGACAAGAGACCUGAUGGCUACAACUGACAUAUAAAUGCCUCAGAGACUGAUGUAUUUUAUAUGGAGGUAAAGCAAAUGUAACAAACUGUUAAUAGUUGGUGGAUCUAAGUGAUGAGUCUAGGUGUGUUAUUGUGCAGUUUUUUCAACUUUUCUGGAAAACGAACUUUUCAAAAUAAAAAAUUGGAAAAAUAGAAUUCAAGUUAAUUUAUGAAUUUCUAGGAUACUAAGACCAUUGAUUCAACUUGCCAGGCAGCUCCUGCUGUCCUCCAACUUGCUAAUGAAAUGUUUUGAGAAACUUACCUAUAUAGCAAAUUUCUUUUAUUUUGCUUUUGUUAUAUUUUGGAGAAGGAGUCUUGCUAUUUCGCCCAGGCCUGGCUUGAACUGUCCAUCCUUCACCUUGGCUUCCUGAAUAGCUGGGGCUACAAGCAUGCACCACCAACCCUGGCAUAUAGUUAAUUUCUUUGCAGUUUCUCAACCAUACUCAACUUCUAGAGAUUGGAUCAAAGGUUCUACAUAUAUUUUUCCUCCUAUAGCAAGCUUAUUAAAUACAAAUUGGCAUGUUAAAAACCUUGGCCGGCUGGGCGCGGUGGCUCAUGCCUAUAAUCCCAACACUUUGAGAGGCAGAGGUGGGCAGAUCACCUGAGGUCAGGAGUUCGAGACCAGCCUGACCAACACGGUGAAACCCCUUCUCUACUAAAAAUACAAAAAAAUUAGCCGGGCUUGGUGGCAGGCGCCUGUAAUCCCAGCUACUCGGGAGGCUGAGACAGAAGAAUCGCUUGAACCUGGGAGGCAGAGGUUGCAGUGAGCCGAGAUCGCGCCGUUGCACUCCAGCCUGGGCAAUAAGAGCGAAACUCCGUCUCAAAAAUAAAUAAAUAAAUAAAAGCCUUG
rnacentral:lncRNA from 10 species